UCCAGUCUUCUCUCUGUCGUUCUCAGUAGCGGCAUCAUGAGCUACCAUUCCCCCAAUUUCUUCUUGGUGAAACAAGGCUUGAAGCUCCCCCUCCAUCUGGGGUGCUGACCCUAAGGCCCUUCUAAGUGGAGGUUCUAGAGCUGCCUCGCCUUCCACUCUGCCCUUUCCUGCAUCCUGCCCGCAUCGCUCCAAGAAUGCGCCCCACUUUCCCAUGCCUGGCCUGGCGCUCGCCUCCUUUAUCUCCACAGGGAAUACCUGUCUCCCUGCUCCCCACGGCCCCCUCCCACUUCUUGCCCAUCCAGCUCAAACCUCCAGCACGGAGUCUACACUGAUCACUCACUCCUCAAGUCACUCAGCCAUGUCUCUCCCAGACACUGCUCCCCAGAGGAGAGGCUUACCAGCCCUAUGUGACCUUAAGACCCUGCAGACCAAGGAACUCCUGCAAUUAUUUGUCUCUGUCCCUCACCCUUGCCCCCCAGCACCGUGAGAACACAGUAGGUGCCUGCUAAAACAACGAUAAUAACCAUUACCUGAAAAAUAAUGAAUUAUAAUUGCUUAUUGACCAUUCAUUCUUUACAAUGCUCAGAUCUCAGCAUUUUACAUGUAUCAUUUCAGUUCAUCCUCCCAAGCCCCCCAUAGACUUGUCAUUCCUACCCCUUUGUCUUCAACUGAGGAAAUUGAGGCUCAGAGAGGUGAAAUGAUUUGCCCAAGGUCACAUAGCCAGGAGAUGGCAGACCUAAGCCUGGAAUUUAAGUUCUUAUCCACCGCCCUACUUGGCCUCCCUCCAAUCCACACAUAAAGGAGGGGAUAUGUGAGAAGCUGUGACCUGCCAGUGAUGGGGCUAUGGGGGUCCCAUAGAAACCAGCCCAGCCCAGGGCCAGAGGCAGAUUCCAUAAAUAAAACUUCACAACCUUCUAUUGCGUACCUACUCUGUGCAAAGCCCUAUGCUAGGUGCUGGGAGCACAGAAUAUUACAUGAGACAUCUGGAACUCACAAUCUAGCAAGAGAGACAAGCCACGUCCCAGGAUAAAGUCAAGAGCAAGCAGAACUUGUCCCCAGAGGAGACCCGAUAAGGUGCUAAGGGAAUGCAGAGGACAGAAAGACAAAUCUCCCUGUGGGGUUGGGGACGGGAGGGCUCACAAGGCUUUGGGGGACAGAGGUUGGCAUCUGAGCUGAGCCUUGACAAGGCAGGCAGGAUUUCAACAGUGACUGGGGAAGGACGGGGUGUGGCAUUCCUGGCAGAGAUGAACCCAGGAAGUUGGGGCAAAGACACAGGUAAGCACUGGGCGUGUCCCAGGAGCCACAGCAAAUGCAUUCUCCAAGCCCCUCCCCUUGGCACUGGUCCCAGGUGUCUGGCCCUGAAGAGAGGCCACCAUGAGCGUCCCCAGACUCCCAGGCAGCUGAUUCAUUCUGGUAAGCGGGCGUGGAAAGGGAGAGAGUGCUGAGUGCCUGGGCGCAUGGUCUGCCAGAAGGGGCUCAAGGGGCUAGAAUCCAGGCUCUGUACAGACUCUCUCAAGAUGGGAGAUGCUGAAGGGAGGAAGUGGCCCCACCAGAAGUGGGUGAUGCUGGGGAGGAAACAAGGAAAGGGGCAAAGACUGUGAAUUGGGCAGCAGGAGACCUGGCUUCCAGAACUACAGAUCAAAGCUGCGUGGGACCUUGGGCUUAUCCUGUCCAACCCUCAUUUUUACAGCUGGGAAAACUGAGGCCCAGAUAGGGGAAGAGACCGGUUCGCAGUCCCUUCGCAGCAGAACCAGCCAUGUGCUGAGAGACUCUCACUCCAGCCCUCAGCCAGGUCCGGCUCCCUUCCUUUUCCUUUCUACACAACUCUGCUCCUGAAUCUCCGUUUCCUGGCUGCAGCCUCUGCCUCCCUCCCCUCCAUCACCGAGCCUGACAGAGGACCUCCAAGCCCCCAAGCACCCUUCUGAGGAGAUAAAACUAUCAUGCUUUGCAGAUGAUAAGCUCAUUUAAUUGGGAGACUCAAGAUAAUCAAUGAAGAACUGAGGUGGCCAGUGACAAAACAACAUCUAAAGAAAAAGCCAAGCGCCUGCAGUCCUGCCCUGUUACCUGCUCUUGACGCAGCAUCUCUCCAACAGGUGGGCAGCUGCCUAGAACCAGAGGGGCUCAGAGCCUUGUCCUUCCUGGUAGGAAGGCCAGUCCCUGAUGGGGUGACAGCAUAGGUUUAGGAAGCAGGAGACCCCACUCUCUGAGCCAAGAAUCUGUUCUCCAAAUUUGAGCAAGUGUGCAUCCCUCUGUGGACCCCUAAACGUUCUCACAGCCUCCAUCCGGGGCAGUAUAGGAAAGACUCCAGACCACCUGUGGGCUUUGGCUAGAUCUGGCUUUAAAUCCAACUGUGCCACUUGCUGGCUGAGGACUGGGUAGGCCUUGGGCAAGUUAUUUAGCCUCCUUUAAUAAAGUGGGGACCGUAAUCUCUGCCUCACUGGGUAGUUGCAAGGAUUAAAAGACGUAAGGCGCAUAAACCACUGAGCACGGGGCCUGGCACAUGGUGAGCCAAUAAAUGUAAGCACUUGUUUAUCAGUCACCAGAGCGAGCCUCUGACGAGGAAGACUCUAGGCUUUCUAAUUCUUAGGUGGCCUCAAGCAACCCCCAAACCACCCACCGGAACUGGGUCUGGAGGCUUUAUCUUUAGAGCUUUAACCCAGAGAGAUGAUGGGGAGAGAGAGGAGGGGGAGGUAGGGGAAGGGAGAGAAAGAAGACUGAGAAGAGGAGGGAGGAAGGGAAAGGAAAAUCAAGGGUGGGGGCGGCCUGGCUUCCCCAGCUUGGGGGAAAGGAAGAUGACUUCAGGGAAGCUGCCAACACAGGAUAAGCCUUCUCUCCUUCCCGGAGCCUCCCCAGGCCCGCCAAGGCAAGGCUUAAAGGGACACAGUCUGCUGAGAAGCACCGCCCUGGCUGUCAGCAGGGACACUGAAGCCUUGGGUUACCUCCAGGCUCUGGCUCCCCACGCGGCUGCUGCCUGCCCGUGACGGCCUCCUCCCCUGGAGCAGGCAGAGACGGCCAGAGCCGGGCUGAGAACAAAACCACUUGCCCAUUCAGCCUGCAGAGGCACUAGUCGCUCACUUAGGACUCAGGGACCCCCUUGUGGAUUCUGAUCCUGACUCAGCAGGACUCCCCCCACUGGGUCCCCACCUCAGGGUCCCAUGCGGAGCCCUCUCCAGGCCUCUACCUGCCCCAAGGUCCUGCUUCGGAGGCUGAAGUUGCGACUAGGGAAAAAGCACCAUUCAGACUCUAAACAGGAACCACAAACGAGGUGUUCCGAUUGCCACUGACCAGCUGUGUGACCUGAGGGGUGUCACUUCCCUCAGAGCAUGUUUCCUUCCUCUGGCUAAUGAGGGCAACGGAGGACGAGGAGUUUCUCUAAGGUUCUCCCAACUCCGACAGCAGCUAUCCUGCUGGUAGGAUACCUUGGAGCACAAAGGGGCAAAGAGGACUUGCCUCAGAAGAGGAGUGUGCCGAGCUGGGCUCUGCUGAGAGUGCCGUGGAUGUGGCAAUGGCCAAGGGUUAUUAUGAAGAUGACGAUUAUAAUUUAAAAACACAGCCACAAACUCUAAAGCAGUUUACAAAGAGCUUUCUCAUUAUCCCCUGGGAUUCACAAUCUGGUGACUUAAGUAGAGCUGGACGAUGAUUAUUCAUAUUUGGCAGAUAAGGAAAGUGAAGCAAGAUUUAAGUGGCUUGUGACUUCCCUGGUGGCGCAGUGGUUAAGAAUCUGCCUGCCAAUGCAGGGGACACAGGUUCGAGCCCUGGUCCAGGAAGAUCCCACAUGCCGCGGAGCAACUAAGCCCAGGCACCACAACUACUGAGCCUGCGCUCUAGAGCCCGUGAGCCACAACUACUGAGCCCAUGUGCUGCAACUACUGAAGCCCGCACACCUAGAGCCCAUGCUCUGCAACAAGAGAAGCCACCACAAUGAGAAGCCUGUGCACCGCAACGAAGAGUAGCCCCCACUCACCACAACUAGAGAAAGCCCGCACAUAGCAACGAAGACCCAACACAGCCAAAAAUAAAUAAACUAAUUUAAAAAAAAAAAGAUUUAAGUGGCUUGUCCAGGCUACUAAGUGUAGAGAAGGGGGAGUCAAAGCAGAAGCAGUAAUUACGGGGUGCCUGCUGUGCGUCACCUCACUAGGCUCACUCAUUUCUGUUAUCUUGACCAAGUGUCACCACCACAACCCGGCACUGCAGGUGCUACUGUCCCCGUUUCAGAGAAGAGGACACUGAGGCUGAGAAAAAGCCUCAUGGCUGCUCCAUUGCAAAGCCUGGAUUGGGACCUGGGCUUGUGGGACUCCAAGACCUGCAGUCUUUUCCAUCUUCCUGUAUGUACUGAGUUGAAUAGUGUCCCCCCAAAUUCAUGUCUACACAGACGCUCAGAAUGUGACCUUAUUUGGAAAUAGAGUCUUUGCGGAAGCAAUAAGUUAAAAUAAAAUGAGGUCAUGCUGGAUACGGGUGGGUCCUAAACCCAAGAUGACUGGUGUCCUUAGAAGAAGAGAUGACACAGAGACACACCAGAGAAAGGGAAGAAAGCCAUGUGACAACAGAGGCAGAUGCAGCUGCAAGCUAAGGAGCUCCAAGGAUUACUGGCCGCCACCAGAAGCUAGGAGAGGGGCACAGAACAGAUGCCCCUGCCACCCACCUCAGAGCUUUCAGAGGGAACCAACAUUGCCAACACUCUGCUUUCUGACUUCUAGCUCCACACUGCGAGAGAAUAAAUUUCUGCUUUUUAAGGACA